GAGGGUAUAGCUCAGUGGCAGAGUGUGUACCUAGAGUGCACAAGGUCCUGGGUUCAAAUCCCAGCACGUCCA
rnacentral:tRNA from 1 species